rnacentral:rRNA from 1 species
GUGAGGAAUAUUGGACAAUGGGCGCAAGCCUGAUCCAGCCAUGCCGCGUGCAGGAAGACGCAUCUAUGGUGUGUAAACUGCUUUUGUACGGGAAGAAACACUCCCUCGUGAGGGAGCUUGACGGUACCGUAAGAAUAAGGAUCGGCUAACUCCGUGCCAGCAGCCGCGGUAAUACGGAGGAUCCAAGCGUUAUCCGGAAUCAUUGGGUUUAAAGGGUCCGUAGGCGGUUUAAUAAGUCAGUAGUGAAAGCCCAUCGCUCAACGAUGGAACGGCCAUUGAUACUGUUAGACUUGAAUUACAAGGAAGUAACUAGAAUAUGUAGUGUAGCGGUGAAAUGCUUAGAUAUUACAUGGAAUACCAAUUGCGAAGGCAGGUUACUACUUGUGGAUUGACGCUGAUGGACGAAAGCGUGGGGAGCGAACAGGAUUAGAUACCCUGGUAGUCC